rnacentral:rRNA from 1 species
CAAUAGCGUAUAUUAAAGUUGUUGCAGUUAAAAAGCUCGUAGUUGGAUUUCUGGUUGAAGCGACCGGUCGGGCGUUGAUUCGUCUGCACUGGAGUCGGUUUUGGCCAUCCUCUAGGAAAGUGCGUCUGGUAUUAAGUUAUCGGGCGUAUGAUCCUGGUCUUUUACUGUGAAAAAAUUAGAGUGUUUAAAGCAGGCCUUCGCCUUGAAUACAUUAGCAUGGAAUAAUAAGAUAGGACUUUGGUCUAUUUUGUUGGUUUGCAGACCGAAGUAAUGAUUAAUAGGGAUAGUUGGGGGUAUUUAUAUUCCGAUGUCAGAGGUGAAAUUCUUAGAUUUUCGGAAGAUAAACUUAUGCGAAAGCAUUUACCAAGGAUGUCUNCAUUAA